rnacentral:rRNA from 1 species
GCAGGUGCGAAAGCAGGUCAUAGUGAUCCGGUGGUUCUGAAUGGAAGGGCCAUCGCUCAACGGAUAAAAGGUACUCCGGGGAUAACAGGCUGAUACCGCCCAAGAGUUCAUAUCGACGGCGGUGUUUGGCACCUCGAUGUCGGCUCAUCACAUCCUGGGGCUGAAGUAGGUCCCAAGGGUAUGGCUGUUCGCCAUUUAAAGUGGUACGCGAGCUGGGUUUAGAACGUCGUGAGACAGUUCGGUCCCUAUCUGCCGUGGGCGCUGGAGAACUGAGGGGGGCUGCUCCUAGUACGAGAGGACCGGAGUGGACGCAUCACUGGUGUUCGGGUUGUCAUGCCAAUGGCACUGCCCGGUAGCUAAAUGCGGAAGAGAUAAGUGCUGAAAGCAUCUAAGCACGAAACUUGCCCCGAGAUGAGUUCUCCCUGACCCUUUAAGGGUCCUGAAGGAACGUUGAAGACGACGACGUUGAUAGGCCGGGUGUGUAAGCGCAGCGAUGCGUUGAGCUAACCGGUACUAAUGAACCGUGAG